GUCCUCACCAAGGUGCAGCCACUAGGAGUGGGCACCGUGCAUCAAGAAAAUUAGGAAGCGCACCACCAGCUGGAGGGGCCAAGGUCACACGUGGUGUUAGAAGAAGAGGAAACAGAAUCUUGGGGCUGUGUGCUCACUCCCCGGUGACGCAGGCUGGAGAUGCAGUGGACAGUAGUCCAUCAGCCGUGUGCAGGCAUCCAGAGAGUGCUAGUCGCAGCAGGGACCUGCCACUGUGAGACAAAGGCAUUUUGAUCUGAAAUGUGGGUCCAGGCCACACCACCUGCUGAGCUAAGAGUUGUCACUGAAGUUGCCUUUGGAAGACCCAAAAUUGGCUGCAGAUUCUGGAGAAGUCUCCUCCUGAUCUCUGGAAUUGAGGGAAGAAGGGCUUCAGAACCUCAGGUCCUCAACUUUCCAGGAAUAAGAAGGAGUCGGUGCAAUCUUCAGCAAGUCAGGACAGAGUUGAUGGGUGGACAGUGGCCUGCGGAAGUCUCACCCCAGCUUUUCACAGGGCCUCUCAUGCUCUCCACGAUUAACCUCCAGUCUACUUGGCUGUAAACAUCAGAAUCUUUUGAAGUUCCAGUUCCUGGUGUCGUAGAAUUGAAAUCAAAACCCUCGGGGCAUUGAAGAACAUGUUGAGUUUAUCAACCAAUGCUGGGACACAUCCCUGCACUCAACAGACUGCUGAGGGAGAGCGAGUGGAGGUGGAGUUCGUGGGAAUUGCUCAUGAUGGGUAGGUACUAGGGAAGGCCCAGAGUCUGCGGGAAGGUCAGGAGGAAGUCUCGGGUCUUGCACAAUGAGUUAAACCAGCCUGCCUCUCUCGCCAGUCCUGAUACCAGUGGGGGAGUCAGACCUCCCUGUGCCCAGCACUACCAGCUCUGGCCUUUGCACCUCUCGGUUCCUGGCGGUGAGCAGCUGCUGCGGGAAGCAGGCGAGGCAGCACCUCCAGUCCCAGUUCAGUAGGUCACCUGUCACAAGAGGACCUUCCUUGUGCCCGGCAAAUGCACGGUGCCCACAGGUCCAGGCAAGUGUCUGCCAGGCGCAUUAGAAUAUGCUUUAGCAUUGAGAAACCAGCCUCUACCUCAGAGCAAAGCCUGUCCAAGGAAGGGGGCGUGACCCUUGUCCUUGGAAAGACCCACAGAGCACGUACCCACC